GAUGAACGCUAGCGGCAGGCCUAACUCAUGCAAGUCGAGGGAGGAGCUUUCGGGCUUCGACCGGCGUACGGGUGCGUAACGCGUAUACAAUCUGCCUUUCACAUAGGGAUAGCCCGAAGAAAUUUGGAUUAAUACCUAAUGGUAUAUAGGAGUGGCAUCACAUUUAUAUUAAAGCUGAGGCGGUGAAAGAUGAGUAUGCGUUCUAUUAGCUAGUUGGAGAGGUAACGGCUCCCCAAGGCGACGAUAGAUAGGGGUUCUGAGAGGGAUAUCCCCCACACUGGUACUGAGAUACGGACCAGACUCCUACGGGAGGCAGCAGUGAGGAAUAUUGGACAAUGGUCGGAAGACUGAUCCAGCCAUGCCGCGUGCAGGAAGACGGCCUUAUGGGUUGUAAACUGCUUUUGCAGGGGAAGAAUAAGGACUACGAGUAGUUUGAUGACGGUACUCUGCGAAUAAGCAUCGGCUAACUCCGUG
rnacentral:rRNA from 1 species